UACGAAGGGGGCUAGCGUUGUUCGGAAUCACUGGGCGUAAAGGACGCGUAGGCGGCUUUAUAAGUCGGGGGUGAAAGCCUGUGGCUCAACCACAGAAUUGCCUUCGAUACUGUAUGGCUUGAGACCGGAAGAGGUAAGUGGAACUGCGAGUGUAGAGGUGAAAUUCGUAGAUAUUCGCAAGAACACCAGUGGCGAAGGCGGCUUACUGGUCCGGUUCUGACGCUGAGGCGCGAAAGCGUGGGGAGCAAACAGG
rnacentral:rRNA from 1 species